rnacentral:rRNA from 1 species
GACGAAGGGGGCUAGCGUCGUUCGGAAUUACUGGGCGUAAAGCGCGUGUAGGCGGUUGUUCAAGUCAGGUGUGAAAGCCUUGAGCUCAACUCAAGAAAUGCACUUGAUACUGGAUGACUAGAGGACCGGAGAGGAUAGUGGAAUUCCCAGUGUAGUGGUGAAAUACGUAGAGAUUGGGAAGAACACCAGUGGCGAAGGCGGCUAUCUGGACGGUUUCUGACGCUAAGACGCGAAAGCGUGGGGAGCAAACAGG